rnacentral:rRNA from 1 species
UACGAAGGGGGCGAGCGUUGCUCGGAAUCACUGGGCGUAAAGGGCGCGUAGGCGGGAUGGCAAGUCGGUCGUGAAAUCCUUCGGCUCAACCGAAGAACGUCGGCCGAUACUGCCGUUCUUGAGGGAUGCAGAGGAGAUUGGAAUUCCCGGUGUAGCGGUGAAAUGUGUAGAGAUCGGGAGGAACACCGGUGGCGAAGGCGGGUCUCUGGGCAUCUCCUGACGCUGAGGCGCGAAAGCGUGGGGAGCAAACGGG